AAGAAUGUUCAUUUAAAACCAAUCCUGUUUGAUACAGAAGGCCUGUUCCUAAGGCUCUUUAAAAGAAAAACCUCUCUUUUGUAAAACUUCUGUUUAAUAGAGUAAAUUAAGGAAGAAAAGGAUGAAAUAAUUUUGCCUGGGAUGCUUGCUCAGCUAUGGCCACUGAGAGAGUCCUAAGUCUGGAGCUCUGAUGCCAUCUUUGGUUAAACUAGGUGUAUAAGCUAUUGCUGCAUAGCAAAUCACCACAAAUUGUAGUGACUUUAGAUACCAAUAAAAAUUCAUUAUUUCAUACAGUGUCUGUGGAUCAGGAAUUCAGGAGUGGCUUAGUUGGGUGGUUUUGGCUCAGUGUUUCCAUAAGGUAGCAACUAAGACAUCCACCAGGGCUACAGUCAUCCGAAGGCUACAGUCAUCUCACUGAAGCCGGAUGAUCCACUUCUAAGAUAGCUCACUCAUAUGGAUGGUGAGUUGGUGUUGGCUAAUGGCAGAAGACCUCAGUUCCUCACUAUGUGGACUUAUUCAGAAGGCUGCUUGAGUGUCCUCAUGACAUUGCAGCUACAUCUCCAUAGCAAGUGAUUCAGGGGAGCAAAGGUAGGAGUGGUGGUAUAUUUUAUCUUCUACCCUUGGAUGUCACACUCUAUUUCCUCAAUGUCCUAUUGACUACAUACUUCAGCUCUCUUCGGUGUGGGAGAGGAUCCACAAGAGCAUAAAUACCAGGAAGCAAGAAUCACUGGGGGUCUGCUUGGAUGCUGGCUAAUAUUAAGACAUAUUAAGCAUGAGUUCAUCUGUGAUCUCAUUGGAGUAUCCUCUAAAAAGCCAGUUUAGAGGACUAAACAUCAUGCAUCUGAUAAGAAGAAAGCAAGAGAUAUGGAGUGGUACAGUUAACUUUCUAGUUAUUUGUAGAUUUAGAAUAAAUAGCUGCCAUUAUUCAUAUUCAUCGUUAAGUGAUUAAGCCUAUAUUGAAGUGUACAUGACUAUGAGGAAGCUUUCAUCUCUUGGAGCUGGAUAUUUGUCCCAGACCUUACACUGGAUGACUGGUUCCCCAUUGUUGGUCUAUAGACCUGUGUUGUGUGAACUAGUAAGAAGCAACUUAAGUGUUUGUUAAAACGGAUACCAGGUUUCUACUCCUAGAGAUUCUAAGUCAGUACCUUUGGGAUCCAAUGUGCUAUCCCUCCUUAUCAGGCAACAGUAGGCUCAGGUUCUGACAAGUGAGAAUCACGAUUAAUGGCGGUCAUAUUUGUUUGCUUAAUAUCUAUCCAUGAUCUUUUUCUUUGCCUCAGAAAACCAACUCAAAACUGGGCACUCAGUUGCUGAGGGCUAGAAUUGACAGUUGCCAAUGUUGUUUACAUGCCAUAUUGUUAAAAGGGGCGUAGAUCGUAGAAAGCUCCCAUAUCAUAAGUGCUGCUAGAGAGGCAGAUAGAGGGUAGAGUUGCUGACUAAGAACAACAGUUUGAAAGACUAUGAUACACUGCUACAUCAGCACAUGCAAGGGCUGGUCACAUUACUACAUACAGAAAUAGUCACAUCCUGCAUAAAUCAUAGUCCAAUGGUUCUCAAAUGUUAGUAUCCAGAAGAAUCACUUGGGGAGUGUUGAAAAAUGCAGAUCUUCAAGCCUGCCCCUAGGAUUCUGAUUCAGUGGGUCUAGAAUACCCCAGGCAGUUUCAAUAUACGUGAUCUGGGGACCACGCUCUGAGAUACACUAUCCUAGGCAUGACCUAAUUUAACUGCAGUAUAGUGACCUCAUAUCUGUUUAAUCCCCAGCAGCAAGAAUUUAAUAUAUAGAGUGAAAGGGGCUGUUUUAUAGAGUUUGCAUGGAUGACACCAGCUGAACUGCUGACAUGCAUGAGGGGUACAGUGAGAUCUGGGCAGGUGUGGAAGAGCAUUUUAUUAGCAUUAUUUUCAUAGAUAUUUACUCUCCUCCUGGAUACUAAGUUGUCAGAGGUAAGAUCUAUACAAGGUUUAAUUUUGCAGCUCCCCUAGAGGCUAGUGUAGUGCCCUACUUGCAGCAGGCUUGCAAUAGGUGUGUUAUUACACAGGAGGAAGUUCAUUUGAGGUGGCCAGGAAUUCUGGAUGGGAAUUAAUCCAUCUCACCCAGAGCAUGUUGCAUGUUGUGGUGACUGCUUUAUGACUCUGGAGUAUUGCCAAGCUCUCCUCUCACUUCCUUCUUCUCUCUUCCAAGUGUCUCAAGGUGGGUAGUGAUAGUGAAACAGUCAUGGCAUUAAUGACUGUCUCUAGGCUUGUGACUUUGGAGAGUGAAAUUAGAAUAAGAGCUGAAGAGUUGAAUAGAGCACAGCUAAAGCCUACAAAUUCCUGCUGAUGAAGGACAGGGCAAACAAAGACUAUUUCAGCCAUACUGAACACCUCUGUUUCCGUCAGCCAAGAACAUCUGGGCAUGCCAGUGUGGCAGACACAGAGCCAACAACAUGGUCAAGAAGACACUCAAUGGCAGACAGUAAAGCAGCAAUAAUUUAUUGAGCUACUACCAUGUGCCAGAAUCUGUUCUAGGUGCCAGGGAUAUUAAGGUAAACCAAAUGGACAAGCUUACAUUUUAGCAAAAGAGAUAGAUAUUGAAUAAAUAAAUACAUAAUGCAAUGACACAUAGUGAUUAGUGCCAGUAAGGAAAAGAAAGCAGGUGAAGGGAAUAGAUACUAAAGUUAGAGUAAAUAUUCCAAAGUAGGCUGCUUUGAUAUAAUAAUGACAAUGACAAUAGUUGUUAUUAUAAGGAUUAUGAUAAUAAUUAUAACAAAUUCAACUAAUAUUUAUUGAGUACCUACUAUAUGCCACACACAGUUCUGGGCAAUGGAGAUACAAUGGUAAGACAAGACAAAUUUCCUGAUUUUGUGGUUCUUUUCUUUUUUUAGGCUGGGAAAAAGACCAUAAACAAUCAAAGACACACAAGAAACAUAUGAGAUAGUAAUACCCGGAGAAUUAUGAUAAGGAGUACUGUUAAAGUGACUGAGAAGGCUAAUUAAGUUUAGUUGAGGGAAUUCCUAAUAUUUAAACUGAAAUCUGAAUAACAAGGAGGAGCCAGAUAUGCAGAAAGCAUUCUGGGCCAAGUUGGGAGGGAACCAGGGCAAAGGCCCUGGGCUCAGAAAUCUGGGAAUAGGGAUAAGGCCAGUGUGGCUUUAUAAGCCUGGGGGGAUUGGGAGCCUGGUUAGAGUAAUUAAGGAGAAAAACAAUCUUCUUCCAUAGAUAUGAAUUUGAGAGCCAAUAUAACUCCUAGAAAACUAUUUUUCUUUCCAGUUGUAUAUUGCUUAGUUCUUCCAUCAGAGACGGGUAUAACAUUUGCAUUGAUCAAUUUGUAAUAUGAAUUUCUUCCUGUAAUUAGUUCUCCUUUCCCCAGCACCCCUGAGAAAAUCCAAAAUGCAGGGCAAGCAUUAUUAUAACAACAUUUUAUUAAAUAGUAUAAUUAACACAAAUAUUGUAUAGCAAUGUGCCAGUUAUUAAGUGUGUUGACUCAGGUAGUACCUGGGAAUUCUCAGUUAAUAUUAGACUGCAGGUCCAUUUAUCUUCCAUAACACUUUAGAAACAAGGUUUCUUUUCUUGGCUGGUAUUUGAGAUCUUAGGGUGUACUUUUUCUGUGGAUAGGUUCCCAGCCACCUGAACUUUGGAGCAGCCAGGGAGGUGCCCUCAGCCCUCAGUUGUCUCCACUUCCUAUUGCUGGGUGCUGCCAUCUCUUUAACUCCUUUCCAAAGAGUACUUUUUGUACGAUGGUCUACUCUCCAUCUAAGGUACAUGCAUCACUCAAAUCCUCUUUGUGUCUUUGGAGAGAGGAACAUUCCUUUUGUAGAUUUUCACCAUUUUUAUCUUUUCUCUAUUGCUUUUCCUGUGCCGUCUAGACAAUCAUUUCCCAUACUAUUGGGUCCUCUUUUCCCCAGUUAAACAUACAAGAGAUUCUGCUCACUCAUCCUCUACAUUUCACACAUCUCUAAAGUACCUUUCUAUUUACACUGGUUACAGAAAUAUAUGUGAAGCUCAAUGGGAUAGAUUGUGUGUGCAUAGAAAUUGACUUAUAUGCUGAAAAUGCAAUGAAAAUCUUUAAUGUAAGUUUACUGUAUAUUUGAAGGUAAUGUAUAUUUAUUCUCUAAAAUACUCUUAGUAACUUUCACAUUAUGAAUCACUAAACCUUAUGCUUCUCUAAAGAGGAAGCACAAUUUCUCGAAAUAGAGUAUUGUUUUUAGAAUGAAAAUUUAAUGUUUCAUGACCAAUUCAAAUCAGCUUUGAAAUUCUACACUACCACAGCCCUGACAAGAUUUAAAAUGCAAAUGCUCCCCAUAAGGAACAAAUGUCUUUUCAAUUAUUAAAAUUGAAUUUCAAGAUUUGUAAUGGUUUCUAUGAUAAAAAUGUUUAAAUAUAGCUGAGAAAUAGCUCUUAAAUUCUAAUAAUUAAAAAGGACAAAAGCAGAGACUUGAAGGCAAUAAUAAGAGCAAAGAUUGAGUUACAAAAACUAAAAUGUAUUUAAUUUUCAUCAAAGUUCCGAGGAAUUGCAUUAAAAGCAUUAGGGUUGGGAGACAGACUCUUCUCUUACACUCACACAGACACAGUUGAGCCAAUAUGCUUUCUGAUCUGUAAGAAUUAAGCUCAUCUUAGUUACUGAAAUUAGAGACAGGAUGCUGAUCUUAGUUUUGCUUUCCAACUUGGAGACUGUUUUUGAGAAGCCAGAAUAAUGGUUAAAUGUUUUUUAUGUUCUAUAAAAUAGGUAUAAUGAUAGUCAAAUGUUUACUGAAUUUCUGCCCUGUGCUUUUUGCCCAGAACUUUGCUGUGGAUAUGAGGGAUAUAAAAGAACUAGAAGGUAGGGUAUCUGCCCUUGGGAAGUUUACCAGGGAGCUGGAAAGAAAAGUCUGGUGUUACAUUACACAACUCGAAAACAGUACUCACCAUUAUACACUUAAGCACUAGGUAGUGUACAGAGACACAAAUAAUUACAAAAAUCAACAGAAAGGAAUGUCAUUAAUCUUGUGAGGGGCUGACAUGGAAUGCUUCAUGGAAGAGGAGGCAUUUAACUUGGCCUGGAGGGAAAUACAGAAUUUGGCAUCAUUUUCUUUUUACUGUAAUGGUAAUAACUCGUUUUUAUUAUAAUAAUGAUUAGCUGUCUGUCGGCUCACAAAUUAGAGGAUGGAAAAGCAUGACAAACCCACAGGGUAACUAUGUUUUAAAAGUCUUUUUUAAAGGAAUCAGAAGGGAGAAAGAGAAAGCCUUUCUAAGAGCCUAGGCUUGGGGGAAAAUGUAGGAGGUACAGAAGAGAAUUAAUGGGUAAUGCUUAUCGUUUUGUACAAAGUAACCUUGACACAAAUGGGGCAAUUUAAAGAAGGUAAGCGACUCCCAGCCCACUCACCCAGGUUGAUGGAGGAUAUAAUCAUGGGGUUGAUGGCAGAUUGGAGAAAGAAGACCCAGGGAAGCUUUUCUCCCUCCAUUAUGUGUAUUUCUCAUCUAGAGGUAGGAAGCUUGUAGCUGAAGACACGUUUUAGAAAUUCAGCCCUCUCUACUUUCAAAUCAUUUUAGGUAAGUAACUCAAUCCAACGACAAAUUAGAUGCACCUCUUUUCCCCUUCCUUUCUCAAGCUCUAUGCAGAGAUGCAAGCAUUGUCAUACUACUGACAUCAGAGAGGUUGAAGUGAUCAAAACCAGUUAGAGAAACCAAAAUAAUGGUAAAUAAUUUUUUGAUGACAAACAGUGUGUUGCAGUAGGUGAGUUAGGGGUGUGACGAUUCCAGUGUUCAUGAGUGAGGAAAGUAGUAUGGCUCUAAGUCAGUGGUUUUCAACCUUGGCUAAACAUUAGGAUCCCCUGGGCAGCUUUAAAAUUACUGAUGCCCAGCCCCUCCCACCACUCCAGGGAUAUCAUUGGUCUGAAAAGUGGUCUGGGCACUGGAUUUUCUAAAGCUCUCCCGGUCAUUCUAAUGUUCAGCAAACUUGAGAACCACUGCUCUAAGGGCUGAUUUAAAUGAAUUGCACCCAAACAGCUUGUUAAACCGCAGACUGCUGGAUACCACCAUCUGAUUCAUUAGCUCUUGGAUGGGACCCAAGAAUUUGUAGCUUUCAAAUGUCCACAGGUGAUGCUGAUGCUGCUGGUCUGGGGACCACACUUUGAGAAAUACUGAUUCAAGCCAGUCCAGGUUAUACUAAGCAUUUCCUAAAGUUUGGCCUUUGAACUUACCUGUUAAAAUGUGGAUUCUGAGUACCUUCCUCAACCCACUGAAUUAGAAUGCCUGAGGAUCUGUAAUUUUAAAGGAGAUUUCCAGGUUUUUAUUUUGGACUCUAUCACUUGUGAACUAAUGUGCAACUUAAUAGUUUUGUUUCUUUUGUAUCUUGCUCCAAAUAUUAUUUUUACAUAAAUUGUAUGUGUGACCAUAUGAGGAUUUUGGUAAUUAUUUUAUGCUAUUUUUUUAAUGGGAAAAACUCUGUAGACUGAAUUGUAUUAGAUACUCUGAGGUAGUAACAGAUAAAACCUGCAGGAAAAGGCUUUAUUAUGGGGAUUAUGGCACAAUAACAGACCCAUCUGUUCAUGCAGUGGGAGCAAUCCUAGCUGUAUGUGAGAUGUUUUGGAAGCAACUUCUAAAAGCAUGCUUUGCAAGUUCAACAUACUUAGGUAAUUGCACUCCACACGGGUAGUGUAAAGGAUGGAAGAGCAUCUCUCAAAUUUUAGAGGCUGUUAGAAUGACCAGGGCUACUUGCUAAAAGUUAGACUCCCAAAUCACAGCUCCAAAGAGUUUUAAUCCUGCAUAGCACUGAGGAAUUUCUAUUUAACAAAAAUAAGUGAUUCUGAUACAGUAGGUCCCGGAAACUCAUUUUAAGAAAUAUGGGCUAGGGACUAUGAAGGAGAAAAAUUGUUUUCAUAGUUGACCUGAGUGGCUAAUAAAGAAUUUGCUAUAUAUUGACUAUUUUUUCAUUUCCUGUAAGUCAGUGUCCUAAGAACUAAAUAUAAGUGUCAGCUAAAAUGUUAAUUCUCAGGAUAUAUUCUUUAGGUGGGCAAUAUUAUUCCCCCACUUGUUUCUUUCACUCUGAUUUAGACAUUGUGUAGCUUUGCUUUUUCAUCUCUUUCUUAUACUAUUCUUCCUUUUAUAAAGCAAAUGGAGGAGACACAUGGUUAAAAUGAGGACCAGUCAAUUUUGGACUUAACUGGAUUUUUCCCCCUUUAUUGCCUUGACUGCACCAUCUUAUUUUUCUUCCUUUUUUUCCCUCAUAGUUCUCUGUUCUCUUGCCCAAUCCCUCCCCACACCAGUCCAUGUUCCAUCUCCACUCUGGGCUGUUUUUCCUUGGUGAACUUUGUGGCCAUUUCAGUGGGCAGGAAGGGAAAGAAGGUCACUGGGGACCAUGUCAAUCUAUGGUCUCUCCUCAGGAGUGUGUGGUAGUGGCAGAAGGUUAGCAGGCCAGAAGAAGAAAAACCUACACAAGUCCUCCAUGACAUCUUGGUUUGUGAGUGCAAGGUUAGUAGAAGCAAAUAAAGCAAAACUCAGCAUUCACAGGUGAGAGGGAGACUAGCCUGGGAGAAAAUUAUACAACAAUCAAUAUUUUGUUAUUAAGAGUCUCCGUGCAAGGAAAACCUGUGAAAAAUGAAUCUUAACUGCUUUACAAUAUGGCUGGCCAUUCUUACCAAGUUAACUCUCAACUGUUUUAGCUCACAAUAGACGUGAUAGGAUUAUGUCUUUUUCUUUCACGUUUCAGACUUCCUUUAUCUUCACCUGCUAAAAUAUUAGCUUUCACUGAAGAAUCAUCCCCCAGUCAGAAGGAAGGAAAGAGCUGGUGGAGGAGGAACUUUUAUUGAUUGUGUUGAUGAUUAAGGUGUGGCAGCAAGGUCUUUUGUGGUUGGCUCAUCUGUUGUCAUGGAAACCCACCAUAGUGGCAAAGCCCAGACAAAGUCUGAGGGUUUUAACCAUCAAAAUGGAGGAUUGCAAUGUGUUCUGAAUUGCACAGACAGGAGGAGAAGUGAUGUGUAUUCUUUACAUGCUUCUUCCACUCUGGGUUGGGUUCAACCUGUAACAAGAAGUUGAGAGUUUAGUUAGUUAAAACUGUUCUCUCUAUCUUUGUAUUUUUGGUUCUCCUGUUGAGGCUAGUGCUAAAGUGGAAUUGCCAAAUCUGAACUGGGACAAAAAGCAGAGUGUGGACACAAACAGGUUCCAUAUAAGUCCUUAUGGGGAGGUGGGUAAGGGUGGUUCCCAAAGACUAAGGUAGUUAUUUUGUUAAAAUAUAGACAUGUGCGCACACACACCCACAAAGAAGAGAGAGAGCCAAGAGAUAUCAUAGAGAAUGAACUGGAGUGAUCAGGUUUUAAGGUGGAUAAAGGGAAGAGUGAGGAAAAUAGCUAGAGAAGUGGCAAUGUGAGGGAGAGAAAAUAGUCACACAGAGACAGUAACCUUCAAGAUGUCUGUCUUCACAGCAAGAAGAAUACUGGAGACUUUUCCAUGGAGAAAAACUGUAGGAAUGUUCAGUUCAGGUUGCUGCCACCAACAGAAGGGGGAUUUCUUCCUAGGGCCUUCCGAGACAUCUGAUAUUUUGCUCAUCUCACCCCUGAACUCAAGACUCUUCCUUUUACAUUACAGUAUUCUUUUAGGAAAUAUUUGUUUCUCGAGCUUCUCUUUACUUUUUAAGGUAUCUCCCGCACCCAUUUUUUCCCUAGAGCCUGAAUCACUUGAGUAAGAUAUAUCAAGUAAAGAAGAUGAUAAAGUGAUUUCUUGUAUCAAGGAUUAAAUCUAAGAUUAGGUUAAGCUCCAUGAAACAGAGAAACCACAUAUUGUAAAUUCCUAAUAAAAAGUUUUGAGUUUUGACCAAAGAGCUUUGUCCGUCUCCCACAAAUCCAGAACUUUGGAUCUAUUAUAUCAGCGGACUACUGUUUCUUUUCCCAAACUCAAAAGUUCAAACAGCUAGUAUACUCUUGUUAAUUGGUAUUGUUUCCAUUUUAUAGAUCAGGAAGCUGAGGCUAUUCACAGUUAUUGUACAUGCUUUGUCUAACUGUUAUUUGUAAACUUGCCUAUCAUUCCCAUGAUCUACCUCAUUGAGGCAGAAAAUGAACUUUGCUAAUUCUUGGCUCUCCUAUAUACACAGGGCUGUGCCUAUCUCAUAACAGAAGCUUAAUAAAUAUUGUCAAACUAGAUCGCAUGUUUUGUUUGAGUCCACAUAAGGAGAUAAUGAAAUAACUGGGGCUCAAUCUUCCCCUCUCUCUCAAGCUUCUUGAAUUGCAAUCAGGACAUAGCACAGUCUAAGCCUUCAAUAAAUACCUGUCAAUGGGUUGACUGAUGGACUGAUUUAAGACUCUAUUAUAUUCUUUAGUACUUGUUCCAUGUGCUCCAACAAUGACUUUAGACCUUACUGAUUUGAUUGGUCAUAUUUUUAGACUUGUUCUUUCUAUUUUGACAAAAAGAAUAGACAAUAACGACUACAAGCGUAGUGACCUUCUGGAUUUGUUCCGGUGGAUAACCUUGAGAGAAUGUGAAUGAAUUUUCUUAACUUUUAAAAGAGACAAGACUUAGAGUGACAAGCUUGAUAAUUAGUCACCAUGGCCCCUUCACUCCUUUUAAUGUCACUUCUCAUGCUUUGCAUUGGUUCCUAAUCAGUCUAGAUUGUUAUUCUGAUUUACACGGUACCUUACUCUCCUUUUCUAGGUCAUUUGGGUCUUUGUCCCUCUUUGAUGUGUUCUAUCACCCACCUCCCUGCCUCCACCCCCAGCCUCUUAGACCCCUUCUCAUUUCCCCAUAGGUUUAUUUACUUUUUUAAGUUCUUAAUGUGCUAAGUCCUAUUUUACUGUCUCUGUUACCAAGGACAUUUUCAGUGAACCUAAGGAAGAGUGAGCUCACUAAAAGGCGGUGAACUAAUAAUCAUAAAAAUGAUCACGUCCAGACUUUGGCUUAAGCAAAAGAAAUUUGAAUGUAUCUAGAACGCCUUCUAUGUGAUUCUGUCUGAAUCUUUACUAGGAAAGUUACAUUUACAGCUGACCUGCUGCUAAACUUGUUGGGAAUAAAUUAGUGACUCAAAUUCCUUUAUAGUUCAUGUUUCUAGAAGUUGGUUCCACGUCAGAGCUGAGGUUUUCUUGUUGCCUUCAGCAUGGAGAUUUAGCAGUUAUGGAAAGGAUGGGCUAGAGCUUUCUGCCAACUGCAUGUCAUUGGUGAAUCCAAGAGAGAAUCUAACUUAUCAAUUAAUAAUCUUUGCUAUUUAAACCAUGUUCUCUAUUUUCCAAGAACUUGGCUCUUGGUUGUACCUUUUAAAAAAUUCUACCAAGAUAUUUAAUUCACACAAAGGGGGAUUCUGAUCCGUGCUGUACAGGUGAGAGAUAACCAAAGUUUUGCCUCCUUUCUAAUGGGAUGGAGAAAUUAAGAAAAUUCAGGAAGGAUUAGAACUCAGAAUGCUCCAUGUUCUCUAGCCUUGAGAAUUCUGAGUGAGAGAGGAGGAUGUGGAACUCACUGGCUAAAUUCUAGGAAGACAGAACUCUAGAGCUUUGAAAAGGGACCCCAGAGUUCAUCUCAUCCAACAGUUUAAUUUUGAUGAUGACCGAGGAAAGGAGCCGAAACGUUGCUGUGCCUGGUAGCUCAUCAGAGAAAGGCAGAGGGGCCAGGCGGCAUCAUUGCCCCCACUCAGACUCCCGCCCACUGCCUCCAUGCUUGCUCACACCAGCAUGAAGCCAGGAAAUAAAAAUAAACACUUAUCGUGAAUUCA